rnacentral:rRNA from 1 species
CAAGCGGUGGAGCAUGUGGUUCAAUUCGACGCAACGCGAAGAACCUUACCUGGGCUCGAAAUGCUAUGGACAGUCUGUGAAAGCAGAUCUUCUCGCAAGAGGCCGUAGUAUAGGUGCUGCAUGGCUGUCGUCAGCUCGUGUCGUGAGAUGUUGGGUUAAGUCCCGCAACGAGCGCAACCCUUGUCCUGUGUUGCCACUCCCGUAAGGGAAGCACUCUCAGGAGACCGCCAGCGAUAAGUUGGAGGAAGGUGGGGAUGAUGUCAAGUCAUCAUGGCCUUUAUGUCCAGGGCUACACACGUGCUACAAUGGACGGUACAAAGCGCUGCAAACCCGCGAGGGGGAGCCAAUCGCAAAAAACCGUUCUCAGUUCGGAUCGCAGGCUGCAACUCGCCUGCGUGAAGCUGGAAUCGCUAGUAAUGGCGUAUCAAAACGAUGCCGUGAAUACGUUCCCGGGCCUUGUACACACC